AUUGGUUUUAUUGCAUUUUUAACUUUCUUUUAUUUAUCUCUAGCUGCUGCUACUUCUGUUACAAGCUCGAAGUCAUGGGAAGAUUUCCGAAAGUAUCGCUCCCAGCAUCCAGGCCCUCUAUCUAUGAGGGCCUUCCAUCGCUGGUGUUUGUAUGGGGACGAACAUCCCUCCUUUAGAUGGAGGGAUGGCACACCAUACAACAUAAGGAAUAGAGCGGAUGCUGGGAGGAGAAGACAACGUGGCUCAAAAGUUGUCAAUAAUUUUUUUACAUUUUAAAUGUAAAGAAAUUGACAACUUUUGAGCCACUUCAUUUUUUUUUUUGUAAUAUAUUUUUGUAAAUUUA